CAUGCUUGACCUCUGCACGAGCCGGACUAAGGACUGGACGACCUCCGACAUCGGUGGCCUGAAUUCCGGCUCAGGCUGUUGAAAAGCGCGAUUGCGUCGGCGAAUCGAGAGAGGGAUUUUGCAGGGUACAGUCCUUCCAGUGCUGGAUCUACCAUCUGAUCUAACGCAUCGAUGUCAUGAAGCUGCGGAGAAGCCCAUCGGACUAGCGACUGCUCUGACUUUUCACCUGUCAAAUGCUUUCCUGCCAGUCAGGAGCUCUAGCAUGACGACUCCAAAACUGUACACAUCACUCUUUUGAGAGUACUGUCCAGACAUGGUCACCUCGGGAGCUCUAUAUCCUGAGUUCUCAUCUGAUUCCUGAAUUCCUGGUUGGGAAUAAGCUCUGCAAACCCACAAUCUGAAACAUGGGGGUUAAGCUCAUUAUCCAACAGUAUGUUAGAUGACUUGAAAUUCUUGUGGAUGAUAGACGUUGAUGAAUCUUUCUCACUUACUCUAAUGCCCUUGCAGAUCCUAAUGCAAUCUUGACACGGCUAUUCCAAGACAGUGGUUUGCUGUAUCCAUCAGACAGGUGAAGGAAGUCAUGAAGAGAACCGUUUCUGUAAAAUUCAUAUGCCAGCAAAUACUGUCCAUGCUCCAAGCAGUAGCCGUCAAGCUCUGAGAGGUUUGGAUGGUUUAAUUUUGAAAUCUUUGCUACCAAAUCAAUAAAGAAAUCGGAUGGUUUGCUUGGAAAGGCAGAUACAUUGAUUUUCUUCACAGCCAUGACAAACCUUAUGAUCUGACUCAUCUGAGAUCUCUGCUCUGUAAACCCGGCCAAAAGAGCCUUCACCGAUAAGAUUGUCAGCACUGAAGCUCUCCGUUGCCAUCUGCAGGUCUGCCACAGUGUACGCAGUUGCUCUGAUGGAAGAAAGGUCUACAUUCUUUGCCAAAACAGGCUUGUUUGUGAGAUCAUUUUCGUCAAAGGACUUGUGCAAAUCGAUUUUCGAUGGCGGUUUCAGGUUCAUUGAGACAGUCUUCUGCAAUCCUUCCUUUGCAGUUGGUGAUAUGAUGCUUAUUCUAACUUACGAUUGAAUUUUCCUGAAGCAAUUGGUCUAAGAGUGAGAGGUUCAUUCUUCUCAGGAUCUCCUCCAUGUUGAUGCCUCGUUGACUUUCUCUUGAACACAAAGAAUCCAACCAUUGCUCCAAGAACCACCAAAGAUAUGACAAUCCCAGCAACAGCCCCACCUCCUAUCUUAGAACUU
rnacentral:sRNA from 1 species